rnacentral:rRNA from 1 species
GAUGAACGCUGGCGGCGUGCCUAAUACAUGCAAGUCGAGCGAACGGACGAGAAGCUUGCUUCUCUGAUGUUAGCGGCGGACGGGUGAGUAACACGUGGAUAACCUACCUAUAAGACUGGGAUAACUUCGGGAAACCGGAGCUAAUACCGGAUAAUAUUUUGAACCGCAUGGUUCAAAAGUGAAAGAAGGUCUUGCUGUCACUUAUAGAUGGAUCCGCGCUGCAUUAGCUAGUUGGUAAGGUAACGGCUUACCAAGGCAACGAUGCAUAGCCGACCUGAGGGGGUGAUCGGCCACACUGGAACUGAGACACGGUCCAGACUCCUACGGGAGGCAGCAGUAGGGAAUCUUCCGCAAUGGGCGAAAGCCUGACGAAGCAACGCCGCGUGAGUGAUGAAGGUCUUCGGAUCGUAAAACUCUGUUAUUAGGGAAGAACAUAUGUGUAAGUAACUGUGCACAUCUUGACGGUACCUAAUCAGAAAGCCACGGCUAACUACGUG